AGUGAACGCUGGCGGUAGGCCUAACACAUGCAAGUCGAACGGCAGCACAGUAAGAGCUUGCUCUUACGGGUGGCGAGUGGCGGACGGGUGAGGAAUACAUCGGAAUCUACUUUUUCGGGGGGGAUAACGUAGGGAAACUUACGCUAAUACCGCAUACGACCUACGGGUGAAAGCAUGGGAUCUUCGGACCUUGCGCGAUUGAAUGAGCCGAUGUCGGAUUAGCUAGUUGGCGGGGUAAAGGCCCACCAAGGCGACGAUCCGUAGCUUGUCUGAGAGGAUGGUCAGCCACACUGGAACUGAGACACGGUCCAGACUCCUACGGGAGGCAGCAGUGGGGAAUAUUGGACAAUGGGCGGAAGCCUGAUCCAGCCAUACCGCGUGGGUGAAGAAGGCCUUCGGGUUGUAAAGCCCUUUUGUUGGGAAAGAAAAGCAGCAGGUUAAUACCCCGCUGUUCUGACGGUACCCAAAGAAUAAGCACCGGCUAACUUCGUG
rnacentral:rRNA from 1 species